rnacentral:rRNA from 1 species
AACGAACGCUGGCGGCGUGCUUAACACAUGCAAGUCGAGCGAGAAAGGGGGCUUCGGCACCUGAGUAAAGCGGCGCACGGGUGAGUAACACGUGGGUAACCUGCCUUUCAGUGGGGGAUAACAGUCCGAAAGGGCUGCUAAUACCGCAUUCGUCGACGAGCACUCAUGUGCUUGUGGAGAAAGAGGCGCAAGUCUCGCUGGAAGAUGGGCCCGCGGUCCAUUAGCUAGUUGGUGGGGUAAAGGCCGUACCAAGGCUUCGAUGGAUAGCUGGUCUGAGAGGAUGAUCAGCCACACUGGAACUGAGACACGGUCCAGACUCCUACGGGAGGCAGCAGUGGGGAAUAUUGCGCAAUGGGCGAAAGCCUGACGCAGCAACGCCGCGUGUGUGAUGAAGGCC